rnacentral:lncRNA from 1 species
AUCAAUAGAAUUCCCAAUUUUCGCUUCAUCUCCUCCUGCGCAUACGAAACGUCCUGCUUCAAAGCAUCUUCUCCCAGCCAUAACCUCUUCGGUUUCAAUCUCUUUUAAUCUCCAAUACCUUCCCGAUGUCUGAUUUUAACACCCAGUAACUUAAUUGUAGACUUGACUCAGUUUCAUUAUCUUCACUUCAGUUCUAAAUAUGGUUUCCAGUUCCAUCAUCAGACUUGCUCAUCGAUAUUAAUAGUUAUAUGCUAUGAUUUCAGGUCUAAUCCAAACUCCUAACGGUCUACGAUGAGAAAAAGCAAGAGACUAGCAUAUCGUCUGGUCUACCGUCUUGGAUUGCCCUUCUCAGAUUUCGAUACCGCAGGUUUCGUUAACGAACAGGCCCAUCGUAAUCUAAUCGGUGUCUCCACCGUCUUGAAUCGACCUUCUCAGACUUCGAUAUGACAAAAAAGGAGUAAAUAUGUCUGGGUCACAUGAAGAAUCAAAACACCGGAAUCAUUACGAUGAAGAAGAGAAUUUUCGUAGAGCCCAUUCUUUGAUUUAUCAUUUUGAUCUCUUCAACGAAGGUGAUGAAAAUCUUAAUUUCUAAACAGAGUAUUUAUGUUUACAAUUUUUUGGGCGCUGCUUUCGUUUCUGAUUUACAUGAUUUACAUAGUUUUCACAAAUAUUCCUGGUAUAUAUUCAUAAUUUACACAGUUUUCACAAAUAUGUAAAGAUAACAAUAGAAAUAUCACUGUCGUCGUGUUUAUGUUCGUUCGCUUGAGUUUUGCUUUUCCGUUUUUGCUUUGUUCCCC